GACAUGGCUCAGGAUGAACGCUAGCUACAGGCUUAACACAUGCAAGUCGAGGGGAAACGACAUCGAAGGCUUGCUUUUGAUGGGCGUCGACCGGCGCACGGGUGAGUAACGCGUAUCCAACCUGCCCAUCACUUGGGAAUAACCUUGCGAAAGUAAGACUAAUGCCCAAUGAUAUCCCACGAAGGCAUCCGAAUGGGAUUAAAGAUUUAUCGGUGAUGGAUGGGGAUGCGU
rnacentral:rRNA from 1 species